AUUGAACGCUGGCGGCAUGCUUUACACAUGCAAGUCGAGCGGCAGCGCGGGGGCAACCCUGGCGGCGAGCGGCGGACGGGUGAGUAAUGCAUCGGAACGUAUCCCGUAGUGGGGGACAACCCAGCGAAAGCUGGGCUAAUACCGCAUAUGCUCUACGGAGGAAAGUGGGGGACCCGCAAGGGGCCUCACGCUAUGGGAGCGGCCGAUGUCCGAUUAGCUAGUUGGUGGGGUAAAGGCCCACCAAGGCGACGAUCGGUAGCUGGUCUGAGAGGAUGAUCAGCCACACUGGGACUGAGACACGGCCCAGACUCCUACGGGAGGCAGCAGUGGGGAAUUUUGGGACAAUGGGGGCAACCCUGAUCCAGCCAUGCCGCGUGCGGGAAGAAGG
rnacentral:rRNA from 1 species